GAUGAAGAACGUAGCGAAAUGCGAUAAGUAAUGUGAAUUGCAGAAUUCAGUGAAUCAUCGAAUCUUUGAACGCACAUUGCGCCCGCCAGUAUUCUGGCGGGCAUGCCUGUUCGAGCGUCAUUUCAACCAUCAAGCCCCCGGCAUGUGUUGGGGACCUGCGGCUGCCGCAGGCCCUGAAAACCAGUGGCGGGCUCGCUAGUCACUCCGAGCGUAGUAAUACAUCUCGCUCAGGGCGUGCUGCGGGUUCCGGCCGUUAAAAAGCCUUAUUUACCCAAGGUUGACCUCGGAUCAGGUAGGAAGACCCGCUGAACUUAAGCAUAUCAAUAAGCGGAGGA
rnacentral:misc_RNA from 1 species